UUGACUCCCCACCUUUUCCCCUGGCCUCACAACUCCAUGUAAACAUGUCACUGAGCCCCAGUGGCCCCAGUGGAGCUGCCUACUGGGUGAAACAGGAGUCUGGACCUUGUGAGGCUGUUCGCUCUCAGAGGGAUUUACUGGAAGAAAACCACAGCUGGAAAUGGAAGAGCUGGGUCUCCUUCCUGUUCCCUAGCAGGCCCUGAGGACCCUCCCCGCCCCCCAUUCCCUCCAGGCCAGCCUGCUUGGUCUAGGCACAUGCGUGUCUUGUCAGCAUAAGAACUUUGAAAGUGCUCUAGCAAUGAAUGGAGCUGCCUGGGAAGGACGUGGUUCAUGGCCUUGGACAGCGAUCGAGAUGACUGUGUGUGCUGAGGGACUGGAUGGAGCGUUGGAAUCCUCAGCCUGAGUCUGUGGUCCUUUCACCAAGACUGGGACCUGUAAGAAGGCAGAGCCCUGAAAGGAAGACACGGUCCCCCUCCCUCCUCUACCACACGAAGCCUCCUGCAAUGGACAGCAUGGACCAGCCAGUCAGUAAAUGCCGGUGGAAGGGCAGAGCGGGUUCCCUUUGGCUCCAUCAUGGUGCUCUCUGGGGUCAGGUCAUGCUCUGGACCAUCCUGACAGUAGCUCUGGAGAGAGAGGUUCUGUUAUGGAGUACUUGGACGCAGUAGCCCGCCCUGUGUGGAGAUUAGCGUCACAUCUGGAUUUGGUGGAGGAGCUGGCUUGUCAUUGCUGACUAGGGAGAGUGAAGGGUUCUGUGGAGGCUGCUGCCUGGAGGGCUGUUUCCCAACAGCCAAAGGCUGAUCAAUUGGGAAGCACCACACGGACAUCAAAGACAACCCCAUGCAAACUGCGAGAGUCACGAGAGUCAGGGAAAAGCUGCACAGUGGCUGGGAGGGAGAACGGCGCUCCACCUCCGCAGCUGCAAGCCAAGAGUCCCGGCGAGCACCAAGCACCACACACUGAACUGUGGGCCAGCACUGCAUGCCUUAUGGUGGCACUUGCCCACUGUGACACCCUCCAGAGUCAUGGGGUCCUUGAUAAACUCUAGACUCUGCUCAGGAGGACUUGGGUGGUCCCCGAAACCAUCUUUUAAGUGAGAUGAAGAAGCCAUUAGCCAGAAGUGAGGCUCUGGGGGGUUGCCUGAAGUCCUCGCUGUAGCCAGUGGCCAUUCUCUCUGAUGCACAGCUCGCUCUCAGGAACUCUGGGCUGCGAACAUUGACCUUGUGUUAGCCUGUCCUGAUGGAGCUGAAGUGGAGACAGUCACUGCCCCCACGGCUACGGAAAGAGUCAACGCCAAGUGUCCAUCACUCGAGCUCUUACCGCUAAUAGCUCAGCGGAAACCAGAAAGCACUUUACGGUGGCCUCACGCUGCAGCUAUUUUCUUGGUUCCAGCAUAACCUUUGCCCGAGAGCGUCACAGGCCUGAAGUGUUUGCUGUCACCUGGGAAGGGAGGCUACCGGGUGCCACUGAAGACGGAAUGUCUCCUUGUGUGG